GUGACCUCAAAUCAGGUAGGACUACCCGCUGAACUUAAGCAUAUCAAUAAGCGGAGGAAAAGAAACUAACAAGGAUUCCCCUAGUAACUGCGAGUGAAGCGGGAAAAGCUCAAAUUUAAAAUCUGUCAGUCUUUGGCUGUCCGAGUUGUAAUCUAGAGAAGUGUUAUCCGCGCUGGACCGUGUACAAGUCUCCUGGAAUGGAGCGUCAUAGAGGGUGAGAAUCCCGUCUUUGACACGGACUGCCAGGGCUUUUGUGAUGCGCUCUCAAAGAGUCGAGUUGUUUGGGAAUGCAGCUCAAAAUGGGUGGUAAAUUCCAUCUAAAGCUAAAUAUUGGCGAGAGACCGAUAGCGAACAAGUACCGUGAGGGAAAGAUGAAAAGAACUUUGGAAAGAGAGUUAAACAGUACGUGAAAUUGCUGAAAGGGAAACGCUUGAAGUCAGUCGCGUCAUCCAGGGAUCAACCUUGCUUUUGCUUGGUGUACUUUCUGGUUGACGGGUCAGCAUCAAUUUUGACCAUUGGAAAAAGAUUAAGGGAAUGUGGCAUACAUUAGUGAUGUGUUAUAGCCCUUGGUUGCAUACAAUGGUUGGGAUUGAGGAACUCAGCACGCCGCAAGGCCGGGUUU
rnacentral:rRNA from 1 species